GAAAUGCGAUAAGUAGUGUGAAUUGCAGAAUUCAGUGAAUCAUCGAAUCUUUGAACGCACAUUGCGCCCCUUGGUAUUCCAUGGGGCAUGCCUGUUCGAGCGUCAUUUGUACCCUCAAGCUCUGCUUGGUGUUGGGUGUUUGUCCCGUCUCCGCGCGUGGACUCGCCCCAAAGUGAUUGGCAGCCGGCGUACUGGUCCCGGAGCGCAGCACAUGUCGCGCAAACGAGUGCCUUGGUACGGCGGCGUCCAUAAGCCCCUCUCUCACGCUCUUGACCUCGGAUCAGGUAGGGAUACCCGCUGAACUUGAGC
rnacentral:misc_RNA from 1 species